rnacentral:rRNA from 1 species
CCUACGGGAGGCAGCAGUGGGGAAUCUUGCGCAAUGGGCGAAAGCCUGACGCAGCCAUGCCGCGUGUAUGAUGAAGGUCUUAGGAUUGUAAAAUACUUUCACCGGUGAAGAUAAUGACUGUAGCCGGAGAAGAAGCCCCGGCUAACUUCGUGCCAGCAGCCGCGGUAAUACGAAGGGGGCUAGCGUUGCUCGGAAUUACUGGGCGUAAAGGGAGCGUAGGCGGACAUUUAAGUCAGAGGUGAAAUCCCGGAGCUUAACUUCGGAACUGCCUUUGAUACUGGGUGUCUUGAGUGUGAGAGAGGUAUGUGGAACUCCGAGUGUAGAGGUGAAAUUCGUAGAUAUUCGGAAGAACACCAGUGGCGAAGGCGACAUACUGGCUCAUUACUGACGCUGAGGCUCGAAAGCGUGGGGAGCAAACAGGAUUAGAUACCCUGGUAGUCCACGCCGUAAACGAUGAUUGCUAGUUGUCGGGAAGCUUGCUUCUCGGUGACGCAGCUACGACAUAGUACACUCCGCCGUGGGAGGUACGGUCGCGAGAGUAAACUACGAAGAAGUUAGUAGNGUUGAGAGNGCGACGGACGACGACGAGGGAGGAGG